AUUGAACGCUGGCGGCGUGCCUAAUACAUGCAAGUCGAACGGAGUUGCGCCCGGGUGAGUAAUGUAUAGCUAAUCUGCCCUACACUAGAUGACAACAGUUGGAAACGACUGCUAAUACUCUAUAGUAUAGGAUGAGGCUAUAUUGUAUCAGCUAGUUGGUGGGGUAAUGGCUAACCAAGGGUAUGACGCAUAACUGGUCUGAGAGGAUGAUCAGACAAACUGGAAAUGAGACACGGUACAGACUCCUACGGGAGGGAGCAGUAGGGAAUAGUGCUCAAUGGGGGAAACCCUGACGCAGAAACGACGCGUGGAGGAUGACACUUUUCGGAGCGUAAACUCCUUUUGUUAGGGAAGCGGUACCUAACGAAUAAGCACCGGCUAACUCCGUGCCAGCAGCCGCGGUAAUUC
rnacentral:rRNA from 1 species